rnacentral:rRNA from 1 species
AUUGAACGCUGGCGGCAGGCCUAACACAUGCAAGUCGAACGAGUGGCGGACGGGUGAGUAAUGUCUGGGAAACUGCCUGACGGAGGGGGCUAACUACUGGAAACGGUAGCUAAUACCGCAUACCAUCAGAUGUGCCCAGAUGGGAUUAGCUUGUGGGUGGGGUAACGGCGCACCAAGGCGAAGAUCCCUAGCUGGUCUGCGAGGAGGACCAGCCACACUGGAACGGAGACACGGUCCAGACUCCUCCGGGAGGCAGCAGUGGGGAAUAUUGCACAAUGGACGCAAGCCUGAUGCAGCCAUGCCGCGUGUAUGAAGAAGGCCUUCGGGUUGUAAAGUACUUUCGUCGGGGAGGCGGUACCCGCAGAGGAAGCACCGGCUAACUCCGUGCCAGCAGCCGCGGUAAUUC